GGCAGCCAUCACCACUGUGGCUGUCUUUCACAGUGGAGGAGCUGCAGAUUUAUCAGCAGGGACCAAAGAGCCCCUCCAUGACCUUUGCCAAGUGGCUCUCCCACCCAGUCCCCUGUGAGCAACCUGUCCCCCUACUUGAGGGUCUCCCAGACCCCAGCAGGGUAUCCUCCAAGGUGCAGCAGAUGUGGGCGCUGACAGAGAUGAUCCGGGCUAGUCACACCUCCACAAGGAUCGGCCGCUUUGAUGUGAGUGAUCGCU